rnacentral:rRNA from 1 species
GCGAGUGAAGCGGCAAAAGCUCAAAUUUGAAAUCUGAGGCUCUCAGCCCCCGAGUUGUAAUUUGAAGAUGGUGUUCUGGCGCCGGCCCCCUGUCUACGUUCCUUGGAACAGGACAUCACAGAGGGUGAGAAUCCCGUCUGGCGGGGCGGCCUGGCUCCGUGUAGAGCGCCAUCGACGAGUCGAGUUGUUUGGGAAUGCAGCUCUAAGUGGGUGGUAAAUUCCAUCUAAAGCUAAAUAUUGGCGAGAGACCGAUAGCGAACAAGUACAGUGAUGGAAAGAUGAAAAGAACUUUGAAAAGAGAGUGAAAAAGUACGUGAAAUUGUUGAAAGGGAAGGGUAUUGGAUCAGACUUGGUGCUGUGCGAAUAGCGGCUCUUCUUGGGCCGCCCACUCGCACUCCACCGGGCCAGCAUCGGUUUGGGCGGCAAGACAAUGGCGGGGGAACGUGGCACUGCUCUCGGGCAGUGUGUUUAUAGCCCCCGCUGAUGUUGCCUGCCUAGACCGAGGACUGCGGCUUCUGCCUAGGAUGCUGGCGUAAUGAUCCAACACCGCCC